rnacentral:rRNA from 1 species
UGACGUAGAGGCUAGACUCAAAGAUUAAGCCAUGCAUGUUUGCGAAGUUUUCUAAUGAAACAACAGACGGCUCAGUAAUUCUGCGAUUAUUUGCACUAUCUGCAAAGAUAACUAAUGAAACCAUUAGCUAAGAGGAUAGUUUAAGACGCAGGCUCAUCAGUUAGUUGGUAGUGUAAUGGACUACCAAGACUAUAACGGGUAACGGGAAAUCAGGGUUUUAUUCCGGAGAGGGAGCCUGAGAGAUGGCUCCCACGUCCAAGGACGGCAGCAGGCGCGAAAAUUGCCCACUCUUUGAUGUGAGGAGGCAGUUAUGAGACGUGAUCUAAAGAAUAGACUGUAAAAAGGUCUAUGUGAUGCGAUUGGAGGGCAAGUUUGGUGCCAGCAGCCGCGGUAAUACCGACUCCAAGAGUUUCUAUGGUGGAUGCUGCAGUUAAAAAGUCCGUAGUUAUAUUUAGGCAAUUAAAGGAUACAGAUUGAAUGUGUUUAAUUUGCUAAGAGAAGUGGAACGGAUAGGGAACAUAGUAUAGAUGGGCGAGAGAUGAAAUUACCAAGACCCCAACUGGACUAACAGAGGCGAAAGCGAUGUUCUUAUACGAAUCCGUAGAUCAAGGACGAAGGUUAGAAUAUCGAAAGUGAU